AAGCGGUGGAGCAUGUGGUUUAAUUCGACGCAACGCGAAGAACCUUACCAGGGCUUGACAUCCUCUGACCGCAUAUGAAAGUAUGUUUUCUGGCUUCGGUCAGACAGAGAGACAGGUGGUGCAUGGUUGUCGUCAGCUCGUGUCGUGAGAUGUUGGGUUAAGUCCCGCAACGAGCGCAACCCUCGACCUUAGUUGCCAGCAUUCAGUUGGGCACUCUAAGGUGACUGCCGGCUAAAAGUCGGAGGAAGGUGGGGAUGACGUCAAAUCAUCAUGCCCCUUAUGACCUGGGCUACACACGUGCUACAAUGGGCGGUACAAAGGGUCGCGAACCCGCGAGGGGGAGCCAAUCCCAAAAAGCCGCUCUCAGUUCGGAUUGCAGGCUGCAACUCGCCUGCAUGAAGCCGGAAUCGCUAGUAAUCGCGGAUCAGCAUGCCGCGGUGAAUACGUUCCCGGGCCUU
rnacentral:rRNA from 1 species